CGUCAUUGUUUUUCUUGGAAAAUGCAAAAAUCAACAGUGGGAGAAUGAAUGUUACGUAAUCUGUUUAUUCCUGCCUAACGGUGUGACCGUCAUCAUAGUUUUUGGAAAAUGGAAAGCAUUCAUGAGUUCAUAGAUCUCUCAUAUUCCCC